AAGGUUUUCCGGUUUAUCCCGGAGGGCUUGUAGCUCAGUUGGUUAGAGCGCGCGCUUGAUAAGCGUGAGGUCGGAGGUUCAAGUCCUCCCAGGCCCACCAAUUAUCCAUCCAUAGAGAAGCGCUUAGGAAGCUUGAAAAAAGAGAGCUUUCUCGUAAAGUUUGAAAAAACUUGUUUAUCGCUUUUUGUAAGAUGUGGCGUUUGUCUGUUUUUAAAGCGGUCGAAACCAAAAGUGUUGCAAAGACAAGAGUCUUGGAGCAGGAAAGAACAUAAGAUCCAGGUGGUGUCACAUGGUCUAGAGUUAAACUGUUCAGGAUUGGAAUAUUCCAUGUUGAAGUGCUGCGAUAUAAAGGUUUCGGAUAAAUUAUUCCGUUUUGGGGCCGUAGCUCAGCUGGGAGAGCACCUGCUUUGCAAGCAGGGGGCCAAAAAGUUCACAAGUCACUCAAGUUGAUAAAUUUUUUUGAGGUUGAUUUGAGAGAGCAUUCUUUAGGGGCCGUAGCUCAGCUGGGAGAGCACCUGCUUUGCAAGCAGG
rnacentral:misc_RNA from 1 species